GAAGGCACUGGAUUUGAGAAAGCACUUGAUUUAAUCCUCAUUAAACUCCCAUUGUUGAAUAAGAGACUGCUGAAGCACACAGAAACACAGAGGUCUGUUCCUUGGUGUGAUGGGCAGAGUGAUGGUGGCCCCCAAAGAUGUCCUAAUCCCUGGAACCCGUGAAUUCCUUGCACGAUAAAAGAGACUUGGCAGAUGUGAUUAAGAUGGAGAAACAGAGACAGAAAGGUCGAACAACGUACCCAAUGUCACCCAGUUGGAAAGUGAUAGAGUUAUGAUUUGCAACCGGGCAGUUUGACUGCAGAGCUCAUGCUUUUAAUCACAUAUUUUAAGAAACAUUACACUUUGUGAA